rnacentral:rRNA from 1 species
GAACCUACCUUUUACAGAGGAAUAGCCUUUAGAAAUGAAGAUUAAUGCCUCAUGGUAUUGUAGACUGGCAUCAGUUUAUAAUUAAAGAUUUAUCGGUAAAAGAUGGCUAUGCGUCCUAUUAGUUAGUUGGUAAGGUAACGGCUUACCAAGACAGCGAUAGGUAGGGGUCCUGAGAGGGAGAUCCCCCACACUGGUACUGAGACACGGACCAGACUCCUACGGGAGGCAGCAGUGAGGAAUAUUGGACAAUGGAGGAGACUCUGAUCCAGCCAUGCCGCGUGUAGGAAGAAUGCCCUAUGGGUUGUAAACUACUUUUAUACAGGAAGAAACACUGGUAUGUAUACCAGCUUGACGGUACUGU